GGAUGAAAUACAUAAAACAGUUCAUAAUAAUUCCCCGUGGAAUGCUUCUGCUCCAUUACUAGUACGUCUUGCGGUAGAUAGAGUUUCCGCCCAUACAGAUGGUAGGAGCAAAACAAAACAUAAUCAGCAAAAGCUUAUAUUUUCUUCUCUUUUGGCAUAUCUUAUAUAGAAUAUUCAGCAAAGCAAUACGUUUUCUUCUCUCUCUGUACAUGGACUGUCUACUGCAUUUCAAGUCAUUCCUCUCCAGAUGCUCAUCUUCAUGGUGAAAUAUCUCCGAUCAUAUGAUACUUUUUAAGCCAAAAAUAAGAACAACUAUUAAUCAUUAAUAUAGUUAUGAUUGAUAUGUGUACAGGUAAAUUGGCGCAAAUGAGUUCCGAUUAUUGGCGCAAAUGAUACAUUUUGAAAAUAAAAUUUGGCGCAAAUGAUACCCCUGAAAAACAGUAAUUGGCGCAAAAGGACUGCUGCCAUUGUCCUUA
rnacentral:lncRNA from 1 species